GACGAACGCUGGCGGCGUGCUUAACACAUGCAAGUCGAACGGGAUUUAGUAGACAGAAGCCUCGGCUAAAGAUUACUAAUGAGAGUGGCGAACGGGUGAGUAACGCGUGAGCAACCUGCCUAUGACAGUGGGAUAGCCUCGGGAAACCGGGAUUAAUACCGCAUAAAAUCGUAGAAACACAUGUUUCAACGGUCAAAGAUUUAUCGGUCAUAGAUGGGCUCGCGUCUGAUUAGCUAGUUGGUGAGAUAACAGCCCACCAAGGCGACGAUCAGUAGCCGGUCUGAGAGGAUGAACGGCCACAUUGGAACUGAGACACGGUCCAAACUCCUACGGGAGGCAGCAGUGGGGAAUAUUGCACAAUGGGGGAAACCCUGAUGCAGCGACGCCGCGUGAAUGAAGAAGGUAUUCGUAUCGUAAAGUUCUGUCCUAUGGGAAGAUAAUGACAGUACCAUAGAAGAAAGCUCCGGCUAAAUACGUG
rnacentral:rRNA from 1 species